AUGAACGCUGGCGGCGUGCCUAAUACAUGCAAGUCGAGCGAACGGGCGAGAAGCUUGCUUCUCUGAUGUUAGCGGCGGACGGGUGAGUAACACGUGGAUAACCUACCUAUAAGACUGGGAUAACUUCGGGAAACCGUAGCUAAUACCGGAUAAUAUUUUGAACCGCAUGGUUCAAAAGUGAAAGACGGUCUUGCUGUCACUUAUAGAUGGAUCCGCGCUGCAUUAGCUAGUUGGUAAGGUAACGGCUUACCAAGGCAACGAUGCAUAGCCGACCUGAGAGGGUGAUCGGCCACACUGGAACUGAGACACGGUCCAGACUCCUACGGGAGGCAGCAGUAGGGAAUCUUCCGCAAUGGGCGAAAGCCUGACGGAGCAACGCCGCGUGAGUGAUGAAGGUCUUCGGAUCGUAAAACUCUGUUAUUAGGGAAGAACAUAUGUGUAAGUAACUGUGCACAUCUUGACGGUACCUAAUCAGAAAGCCACGGCUAACUACGUG
rnacentral:rRNA from 1 species